rnacentral:rRNA from 1 species
GUACACGCUGUGACUAGCAUAUCAAUAAGCGGAGGAAAAGAAACUAACAAGGAUUCCCCUAGUAACGACGAGUGAAGCGGGAAGAGCUCAAAUUUGAAAUCUUAAAGGGUUUCCCUUUACGAAUUGUAGUUUAAAGAAGUGUUUUCUGUUGAGGUUUUGGUAAAAGUUCUUUGGAAUAGGACAUCAUAGAGGGUGAGAAUCCCGUAUUUGACCUUUACUUUCAACUUUGUGAUACACUUUCAAAGAGUCGGAUUGUUUGGGAAUGCAGUCCAAAAUGGGUGGUAAAUUUCAUCUAAAGCUAAAUAUUGGCGAGAGACCGAUAGCGAACAAGUACCGUGAGGGAAAGAUGAAAAGAACUUUGAAAAGAGAGUUAAACAGUACGUGAAAUUGUCAAAAGGGAAGCGUUUGACACCAGUGUUGUUUUUCUGAAAAUCAAUUAAAGAACUGUUUAUGCUAAGUUGUUUAGACUUUAUCAGCUAACUGUUUAGUUUUGAGCUUUUCUUUAAUGCACUUUUCAGUUAACAAGUCAACAUCAAUUUCUUUUGCUGUAGAAAAGCUUGAGGAAGGUGGCUUGAGAUUCGUCUUAAGUGUUUAUAGCCUCUUGCCUAUGCAGUCGGAGAGAUUGAGGUCUGCAGCGUAGAUCCUUCGGGGCUAAAUGCAUUUGUGCUAAGUUAUAGCAUUUUAUAGACAACUUGUUGACUAUGAUUUGUCUUGUAGCUUACUCGCUUAUGUUAUUUUACCUACGCUUAGGAUGUUGACAGCAGUAUAGACUGU